rnacentral:rRNA from 1 species
GAUGAACGCUAGCGGCAGGCCUAACACAUGCAAGUCGAGGGGUAGAGUUAGCUUGCUAACUUGAGACCGGCGCACGGGUGCGUAACGCGUAUGCAAUCUACCUUGUACAGAGGGAUAGCCCAGAGAAAUUUGGAUUAAUACCUCAUAGUAUCUUUACCUGGCAUCGGGUAAUUAUUAAAGUUCCAACGGUACAAGAUGAGCAUGCGUCCCAUUAGUUAGUUGGUAAGGUAACGGCUUACCAAGACAAUGAUGGGUAGGGGUCCUGAGAGGGAGAUCCCCCACACUGGUACUGAGACACGGACCAGACUCCUACGGGAGGCAGCAGUGAGGAAUAUUGGUCAAUGGACGCAAGUCUGAACCAGCCAUGCCGCGUGCAGGAAGACGGUCCUAUGGAUUGUAAACUGCUUUUAUACAGGAAGAAACAACUCUACGUGUAGAGUCUUGACGGUACUGUAGGAAUAAGGAUCGGCUAACUCUGUGCCAGCAGCCG